rnacentral:rRNA from 1 species
GACGAACGCUGGCGGCGUGCUUAACACAUGCAAGUCGAACGGAAAGGCCCUGCUUUUGUGGGGUGCUCGAGUGGCGAACGGGUGAGUAACACGUGAGUAACCUGCCCUUGACUUUGGGAUAACUUCAGGAAACUGGGGCUAAUACCGGAUAGGAGCUCCUGCUGCAUGGUGGGGGUUGGAAAGUUCCGGCGGUUGGGGAUGGACUCGCGGCUUAUCAGCUUGUUGGUGGGGUAGUGGCUUACCAAGGCUUUGACGGGUAGCCGGCCUGAGAGGGUGACCGGCCACAUUGGGACUGAGAUACGGCCCAGACUCCUACGGGAGGCAGCAGUGGGGAAUAUUGCACAAUGGGCGGAAGCCUGAUGCAGCAACGCCGCGUGCGGGAUGACGGCCUUCGGGUUGUAAACCGCUUUCGCCUGUGACGAAGCGUGAGUGGCGGUAAUGGGUAAAGAAGCACCGGCUAACUACGUG